GACGAACGCUGGCGGCGUGCCUAAUACAUGCAAGUAGAACGCUGAAGGAGGAGCUUGCUUCUCUGGAUGAGUUGCGAACGGGUGAGUAACGCGUAGGUAACCUGCCUGGUAGCGGGGGAUAACUAUUGGAAACGAUAGCUAAUACCGCAUAAGAUUGACUAUUGCAUGAUAGUCAGUUAAAAGGUGCAAUUGCAUCACUACCAGAUGGACCUGCGUUGUAUUAGCUAGUUGGUGGGGUAACGGCUCACCAAAGCGACGAUACAUAGCCGACCUGAGAGGGUGGACGGCCACACUGGGACUGGGACAAGGCUCAGACUCCUACGGGAGGCAGCAGUAGGGAAUCUUCGGCAAUGGACGGAAGGCUGACCGAACAACGCCGCGUGAGUGAAGGAGGUUUUCGGAUCGUAAAGCUCUGUUGUAAGGGAAGAACGAGUGUGAGAGUGGAAAGUUCACACUGUGACGGUAUCUUACCAGAAAGCGACGGCUAACUACGUG
rnacentral:rRNA from 1 species